rnacentral:rRNA from 1 species
GAUGAACGCUAGCGGCAGGCCUAAUACAUGCAAGUCGAACGGUGUCUUCGGACAUAGUGGCGCACGGGUGCGUAACACGUAUGCAACCUACCUUACAUGGGGGGAUAGCCUUUCGAAAGGGAGAUUAAUACCGCAUAAGACAGUAGCUGGGCAUCCAGCAGCUGUUAAAGAUUUAUCGAUGUAAGCUGGGCAUGCGUCCAAUUAGCUAGUUGGUGAGGUAACGGCUCACCAAGGCAAUGAUUGGUAGGGGAACUGAGAGGUCAAUCCCCCACACUGGCACUGAGAUACGGGCCAGACUCCUACGGGAGGCAGCAGUAGGGAAUAUUGGGCAAUGGACGCAAGUCUGACCCAGCCAUGCCGCGUGCAGGAUGAAGGCGUUAUGCGUUGUAAACUGCUUUUAUACAGGAAGAAACGACUCUUGCGAGAGGCAUUGACGGUACUGUAUGAAUAAGCAUCGGCUAACUCCGUGCCAGCAGCCGCGGUAAAAC